rnacentral:rRNA from 1 species
AUUGAACGCUGGCGGCAGGCCUAACACAUGCAAGUCGAACGAGUGGCGGCCGGGUGAGUAAUGUCUGGGAAACUGCCCGAUGGAGGGGGAUAACUACUGGAAACGGUAGCUAAUACCGCAUCCCAUCUGCUGUGCCCCGAUGGGAUUAGCUCGUAGGUGGGGUAAUGGCUCCCCUAGGCGACGCUCCCUAGCUGGUCUGAGAGGAUGACAAGACAAACUGGAACUGAGACACGGUCCAGACGACUACGGGAGGCAGCAGUGGGGAAUAUGGAACAAUGGGAGCAAGCCUGAUGCAGACAUGCCGCGUGUGUGAAGAAGGCCUUCGGGUUGUAAAGGACUGUCAGCGAGGAGGCGUGACUCGCAGAAGAAGCACCGGCUAACUCCGUGCCAGAAGCCGCGGUAAUGC